rnacentral:rRNA from 1 species
GUUGAACGCUGGCGGCGGGCCUAAUACAUGCAAGUCGAACGGUCACACGAAGCACCUUGCUGCUUCGCUGAAGCGUGGCGGACGUGAGUGACAUGUGUGUGACGCUGCUUGAUGGCGGGGGAAACCUAGUGGAACCGGUAGCUAAUCCCGCAAAAUGUCGCAAGACCAAAGUUGGGGAGUGUCGGGCGGCUUGCCUUUGACUUAUCGAAGAUGGCAUUAGCUAGUUGCUGGGGUAACGGGUCACCAAGGCGACGAUCACUAGCCGGUCUGAGAGGGUGACCAGCCACACUGGAACUGAGACACGGUCCAGACUCCUACGGGAGGCAGCAGUAGGGAAUAUUGCACAAUGGGCGCAAGCCUGAUGCAGCCACGCCGCGUGUAUGAAGAAGGCCUUCGGGUUGUAAAGUUCUUUCAGCGGGGAGGAAGGAAGUAAAGUUAAUACCUGUGCUCAUUGACGGUACCCGAAGAAGAAGCACCGGCUAACUCCGUG